GGAAUCUUGCGCAAUGGGCGAAAGCCUGACGCAGCAACGCCGCGUGCGGGAAGAAGGCUUUCGGGCUGUAAACCGCUUUCAGUAGGAACGAAACUGACGGUACCUACGGAAGAAGGAGCGGCCAACUAUGUGCCAGCAGCCGCGGUGACACAUAGGCUCCAAGCGUUGUCCGGAUUUAUUGGGCGUAAAGAGCUCGUAGGCGGUUGAGUAAGUCGGGUGUGAAAACUUUGGGCUUAACCCAAAGAUGCCACUCGAUACUGCUUUGACUUGAGUUCGGUAGGGGAGUGGGGAAUUCCUUGUGUAGCGGUGAAAUGCGCAGAUAUAAGGAGGAACACCGGUGGCGAAGGCGCCACUCUGGGCCGAUACUGACGCUGAGGAGCGAAAGCGUGGGGAGCAAACAGGAUUAGAUACCCUGGUAGUCCACGCGGUAAACGGUGGUCACUAGGUGUGGGUCUCUUCAAACGAGAUCUGCGCCGUCGCUAACGCAUUAAGUGACCCGCCUGGGGAGUACGGUCGCAAGACUAAAACUCAAAUGAAUUGACGG
rnacentral:rRNA from 1 species